GUCUUAUGUAUCUGGGUGUUAGGAUCGUUAGUUCUUACUGUUGCAUUGAUCCUUUUACCACUUCCUUGAUAUCCUUAUUAAUUUUCUGUCUCAUUGAAUCUAUGUCUCCUAUCUGGGUGUUAGGAUCGUUAGCUCUUGUUGUUGCAUUGAUCCUUUUACCACUAUAUCUUUGUUGCUUUAAAAUCUAUUUUAUCCGAUACAAGAAUUGCAACUCCUGCUUUUUAUUUAUUUAUUAUUUAUUUUUGCUCUCCAUUUGGUUGGUAAAUCUUUCUCCAUCCCUUUGUUUUGAGUCUUUGUGUAUCCUUGCAUGUGAAACAGGUCUUGAUGUAACAUGCCAUUGGGUUUUGGCUGUGUCUUUUGAUUGGGGGAUUUAGUCGAUUUAAAUUUAGGGUUACUGCCAUUUGAACUUAACUGGCUGUUUUAUCCAUUCGUUGAUGUAAAUUCUUCUUUGUGUUGGUGCUCUUUACUUUUUGGUAUAUUUUUAGAAAGGCUAAUACUGGUUGUUUCUUUCUGUGUGUAAUGCUUCUUUCAGAAGCUGUUGUAAAGCAGGCCUGAUGGUAAUAAAAUCUCUGAGUACUUGUUCAUAAGAUAUUUUAUUUUUCCUUCAGUUGUGAAUCUUAGUUUGGCUGGAUAUGGAAUUCUGGGCUGAAGGUUCUUUUCUUUGAGGAUGUUGAAUAUUGGCCCCCACUCUCUUCUGGCCUAUAGAGUUUCUGCUGAGAGAUCUGCUGUAAGUCUGAUAGGCUUGCCUUUGUGGGUAACCUGACCUCCCUCUCUGGCUCCCUUAGUAUUUUCUCCUUCGUUUCAACCCUGGUGAAUCUAACGAUUAUGUGCCUUGGGGUUGCUCUUCUUGAGGAAUAUCUUUGUGGUGUUCUCUGUAUUACCUGGGGUUGAAUGUUGACCUGCUUUGCUAGUUUAGGAAAAUUUUCCUGAAUAAUAUCCUGAAGGGUAUUUUCCAGCUUGGAUUCAUUCUCUCCGUCGCAUUCAGGUACACCUAUCAAACGUAAAUUUGGUCUUUUCACAUAGUCCCACAUUUCUUGGAGACUUUGCUCAUUCCUUUUUAUCCUUUUUUCUCUAAUCUUUUCUUCACGUUUUAUUUCAUUAAGUUGGACUUUGACCUCUGAUAUCCCUUCUUCUGCUUGAACAAUUCGAGUGUUUAAACCCGUGCAUACUUCUCGGAGUUCCUGUAUUGUAUUCUUCAGUUCCAUUAAUUCACUCAUACUCCUCUCUAAGUUGUCUAUUCUCAAUAGGAUUUCAUCAAACCUUUUUUCAAAGUUCCUAGUUUCUUUACGUUGGGCUACAACAUGGUCUUUUAACUCACCGAAGUUUGUUAUUAUCCAUUCCUUGAAGAGUGAUUCUGUCAUUGGGAUGCGCUCGUUCUCCAUCAAGCCUUGUUCCAUUGUUGAUGUGGAACUGUGAUCAUCUUUAGAGGGAGAGGUGUUCUGACUUUGAGUAUUCUCAGCUUUUUUAUGCUGGUUUCUUCCCAUCAUUGUAAAUUUAUCCUCCUGUCGUCUUUGAAAUUACCAACUUUCAGAUUAGGUCUCUUGAGUAGACGUCCAGGUUGUUAGUUCCCAGGGCCAGAGCAGCGGCGUUAAAACUGAUGGUGCUUUUCUGCCCAGGAUUCUCCUGUCAGGCUUCCUUCUUGUGUCCGUAGUAGGCGACUCUGCCUUCCCGGGGCUCCAAACCUCGGUCAGAAGGGGAACCGGUCCUGUUUACUCUGCGCCAAGCGCUGCCGCGUUGAGGUGCCGGCGGAGCCGCUGCGCCGACCAUGAGAGUCACGCUGGCGACUCCUGUGUUUCCACCACUGGGGUAUCUUCUGCUCCGUGAGCGACCAGACUUUGUCUGAAAGUGUGGCGUCCUCUAGUUCUCCACGCCUUCCCUGAGAGCUGCAAUCCUGGGAUGUUAGCGAUCGGCCAUCUUGGAUCGUUCUCCAAUCUCAAUUCUUUAUGUAUCUCACUACUCCUCAAAAUCGGCUCAUGAAUACUUUUGUUUUUACAUGUCUUGCCCUCUUUCCUCUAUUAGAUAUUAAAGUCCCUAUCAAUAUUUAAGAAAUAUCAAUCAUCUACUGUGCAUCAAAGUCCAUUU
rnacentral:lncRNA from 1 species